AAUGGGCGCAAGCCUGAUGCAGCGACGCCGCGUGAGGGAUGACGGCCUUCGGGUUGUAAACCUCUUUCAGUAGGGAAGAAGCGAAAGUGACGGUACCUGCAGAAGAAGCGCCGGCUAACUACGUGCCAGCAGCCGCGGUAAUACGUAGGGCGCAAGCGUUAUCCGGAAUUAUUGGGCGUAAAGAGCUCGUAGGCGGUUUGUCGCGUCUGCCGUGAAAGUCCGGGGCUCAACUCCGGAUCUGCGGUGGGUACGGGCAGACUAGAGUGAUGUAGGGGAGACUGGAAUUCCUGGUGUAGCGGUGAAAUGCGCAGAUAUCAGGAGGAACACCGAUGGCGAAGGCAGGUCUCUGGGCAUUAACUGACGCUGAGGAGCGAAAGCAUGGGGAGCGAACAGGAUUAGAUACCCUGGUAGUCCAUGCCGUAAACGUUGGGCACUAGGUGUGGGGGACAUUCCACGUUUUCCGCGCCGUAGCUAACGCAUUAAGUGCCCCGCCUGGGGAGUACGGCCGCAAGGCUAAAACUCAAAGGAAUUGACGGGGGCCCGCACAAGCGGCGGAGCAUGCGGAUUAAUUCGAUGCAACGCGAAGAACCUUACCAAGGCUUGACAUGGGCCGGACCGGGCUGGAAACAGUCCUUCCCCUUUGGGGCCGGUUCACAGGUGGUGCAUGGUUGUCGUCAGCUCGUGUCGUGAGAUGUUGGGUUAAGUCCCGCAACGAGCGCAACCCUCGUUCCAUGUUGCCAGCGCGUAAUGGCGGGGACUCAUGGGAGACUGCCGGGGUCAACUCGGAGGAAGGUGGGGACGACGUCAAAUCAUCAUGCCCCUUAUGUCUUGGGCUUCACGCAUGCUACAAUGGCCGGUACAAAGGGUUGCGAUACUGUGAGGUGGAGCUAAUCCCAAAAAGCCGGUCUCAGUUCGGAUUGGGGUCUGCAACUCGACCCCAUGAAGUCGGAGUCGCUAGUAAUCGCAGAUCAGCAACGCUGCGGUGAAUACGUUCCCGGGCCUUGUACACACCGCCCGUCAAGUCACGAAAGUUGGUAACACCCGAAGCCGGUGGCCUAACCCC
rnacentral:rRNA from 1 species